CAUAUUACUCACAAAAGCAAGUAUGUGAUGACGAUAAACAGCUCUCUGAGCCCCUGAAGGCCCCGGUCCCAAGCACAUCAGACUUACCUCAACCAAGCAUGAAUAAAGGACCUUUUAAUAAGAGCUGAGAGAUUUGAAAAAGUGAAAGUGUGACACUUCAAAAUGUUCAUAAAGAGGUCACAGCAUGGGGUUUGGGUCAAAGUUAAGGAUGUACCCUGCUGGGUGGUUACAGACAGUCCUUCUCUUCUCCUGUGAUUGCCAUUGAAGAGCAAUCAGACUCCAGCCGACUCCAACUGAUUUAACUGUGAACCUCUGUCUGGCUUCACGCUAGCACGCACAUGAACGUACUCCUACCUACACACACACUAUAAACGAGAAGACUUGUGACAUGACAAACUUGUACAUUUGUGUACAUUGUCAUAUUUGGCAGAUGUUUUUACAUGGAUGAAUAAGAUAAAAGACUACAGAUAUAAGAGGGUAAUUUACCUAACAAGGCCUUAGCCACAGUUAACAACAUAUGUAUUCUUCUCCUUUGAAACAAAGGGGACCUACCCACUAAUUCAGACAAAGUGUGUGUGAAGAAACAGGUCACAAAUCGAGAUGCAGCACGGUAUACAGUAACACAAUGCCGGCUAAAUUACACUUGUUUUCUGACAAAUACCAAGCUUGUGUGCUGAAUUUAAUUUCUGUCUGAAUCCAUAUCUGUGAUUUAAGAGAAGUCGAUUCAAAAUUCCCUGUUUAAAGGCACAGUAUGACAUUUUCGCCGCUAGAGGGCGCAUCUUCAAAACAAACUAAGAAACAAAGGCGUGGUUUGAUGACGCAGUGACUGAGUGUGGAAUCAUGGGAGUUGUGGUCUUCAUGCACAGUCGACAAAAAGAAGAAAGAGAAGAAAAGCAUGUAAUCAUUUGAAAUGUGUCAUUAUUAUGGCAGGUAUACAAUUUAAAAAUAAGUAUAAUAUACAUAAAAAUAUAAACUAAGCAGCUUAAUGAUUACAUUAGUAAAUUAGAGGUUGUAUUAUCUUAUUUCUGCUUAUCUCCACAGUUUUAAUGAAAUCCAUCAUUUUGAGAGAUAUGCAACACAGGGUGCCUGUUAAGACCUGGCUAGGGACAACAGAUGGAAACUAGCACUUGUAGCUAACUCUGGCUUGUUUACAGCAAGUAACUUGUUUGUUGAUCAAUGAGCAUUGUCCCUAUGAAAUAAAUAAAUUAAAUAAAUAUAGCGUGUCUAUUUUCUUAUUCUUAAGCAGGAGAUUUAAAUAAUCAAAUAAUAAAUAGAAUAUUAGGUUCCUAUUAUUACAUCAAAUAUGAAUUUAUUCUCAUUAUUCCAAGCAUAUGCCAUUUUAUAAACAGCAG
rnacentral:lncRNA from 1 species